CCACGUCCCUCAGUGCCACAUCUCAACAGUUCUUGAACACCUGCAGCAGUGACUCUACUACUCUCUGGGCAGCUGUGCCAGUGCCUGAUCAUUCUUUUGGAGACGAUUUUUUUUCUAAUAUUCAACCUGAACCUCUGUUGGCACAACUUGAGGCCAUCACGUCUCCUACGGGCCUUGGGGACACCCCAUGCAUACAGGAGCUAAGCAGGAUUCACUGGAGUGCUAUUGGGAUGUCCCCUUGGGGAGGUCCUGAUGGGGACAUCCCAGAAGGCUCUCUCCCUUGAGAUGGGAGAUGCUGGCAGGAGAAGAAGCAAUGGAUCUGCCCUUUGCUUGUGAAUCUCAUGCCAAAAUAGGUGCCUCCAUUUCCCCUAAAAUGGGUAUCCAUCUUUUUGGCUUGCCUGGACCAUGCUGAAUGAAAAGAAAUUGUCUUGCUCCAUGUAUAUUUGAGGAACAUGCUUAGUGGGCAUGGUGGUGACAGGUUGAUGGUUGGACUUAGAGGUCGUUUCAUGACUUAACAAUUCUAUGAUAUAACAUAUAUAAUAUAGGUAAUGCAUAUAAGUAACAAAGCCUCAAAACAAAAAAAAAAAAAAAAAAGAGGGUAACAAAACCAUAAAGCUAGCAGGUUGGAGGCAUUUAAAACCCUGUUUCGAUCGAGAGGAGACACACAGGUGCUGGCUCACACCGUAAUGUUAACUGCUUCUUUCCCACGCUGCUUACCAGCAGGUACAGCUUCACCCAGGACUCCAAAAAUAUGUUGUAAAGGUUUCUCUGGUGCCUCAGCACCCUGGACUGAAGCACUGGCACAGGUUGCUCAGAGAGGUGGUGGUGCCCCAUUCCCGGAGACACACAAGGUCAGGCUGGAUGGGGCUGUGAGCAUCUGAUGGAGCUGUGGGUGUCCCUGUUCACUGCAGGGAGUGGGACCAGAUGGCCUUUAAGGGUCCCUUCCAACGCAAACCAUUCUAUGAUUCUAUGGUUCUAUGAUUCUACCUAGAGAAGCUGUGGAUGCCCCAUCCCUGAAGGUGUUCAAGGUCAGGUUGGAUGGACGUCUGGACAUCCUGAUCUGGUGGAUGGCAACCAGCCCUUGGUAGGAGCAUUGGAACUGGAUGAACUUUGAUGCCCCUUCCAAUCCAAGCCAUCCAUGAUUCUGUGACUUGGGAGCACCUUCCUGGCAACUCAGCAAUCCUAAAUGCAGACUAGAGAAACUGGACAGAGGGAGAUGGAGAAAUACUUAGAGCCAGCGUUUCCCCAUAAAUGAGUCACCAGUGUAUGCUAUGAACACAAGUGUGGCCCUCGUGAUCCGUUUUCAUUGCAGGACCAAAGAAACAGACCAAAAGGUCCAGGCUGCAGUGGGGUUGAUGCAUUUUUGCAUGAAAACAAGCAGAGAUGCAGAGCUUCAUCCCAUGUGUCCUUGGGAGAAGUGGACAAUUCCCCAGAUUUCCCCAGUGCCAAAAUAUCACUUCUGAAUAAUGUUUUCUUCCUCUUCCCCACUACCUCUCCUCUCUCACAACCUCCCCUCCUGUUUUCUGGUCCUGGAGGUGCUGAAGAGAACAUCAUCCCUUCCUCCCAUGUUGCUGGAAGGAAGCAGAACGUGUAAUGCUAAAUUGUGAUGGGGGGGAAAGAAAAAGGUGAUCAAUGGAAUUCACUUUUUUUUGGGGGGGUGGGGGGGCUGGGAAGAGCAUCCUACAGCUCUGUGCACUCAGGGUCCAGGUAGUGGAAAUAACUCUGCAGCAAAAGGGUGGCCCCAUCCCAGGGUAUUUUCCUUUAUUUCAGGCUCCUCAGCUUGGAGAGGCGUGAAUGCAGCAGGUGGGGAGGUGUGGGGUGAGGGGGGCAUCCCUCCUCUUGGGUGGGUGCCCAAAAUGUUGGGUGCUCCGACCACCAGCAACACACCAGUGCCGAAUCAGGGAUGAGUUCUGCCAUAGGGCCACAAAUAAUAUACAUAUAUAUAGAGAGAAAGACAAAUGGAAAGAAAACGGGCCACCAUCCUGGAUUUUGAGCAAAAAUAACAAAGAAAAAAAUAUAUAUAAAGAGAAUGGAAAGAAAUGGAGCUUUUCUAGAAAGCCCAAUUUCUAGAAAAACUCCUGCACCCAGGGAGACAAUGAGCCCCACGCGGCGCUUCCUCCCAUUCCUGCAGCGGAUGUGUUUCUCAUUUGGGCUUUGUUUUGUUUUCUUUCUUUUCAUUUCCCCCUCCCUUUCCCCUUUCCCCGCUCUGCCCAGCGGGAUGCAGCCAAUGGCCCCAAUGGACAGACAACGGAUGGACAACGGGACGCGGCCGCUUGGUUCCAUGAGCAACACGAGUUUUGGAAGAGCGUGCCCUCCACGCCGCGGUGUUUUGCAUUAAAAGGUCCGGGGUACGGAUAGUGUUGCAGCAGCAUCUUCAAAGUCUCAUGGCUUUCAAACACAGCCGUGCACACAUGAGCCCCUCCCUCGCGGCCGUCCCUGUCUCGCAUUACGCUGGCAUUUUCUUUGGGGAUGAACAGGGGAGAGACUCCGGCGUAGUUUAUUUUCCUUCCGAGCAGGGAGGAGAGAACGCGCAAAAUGCUCCUAAUGGAGCAAAGCGAGCAAGAGGAGCCCAAAGGCGCGGUUGUGUAUUUCCGUAGCCACCGUCUAUAAUAAAGCCUGGAGCCGGCCCAAGCCGCGUCUCUAUUCCUUGGGUGUGCACAAAAAGGGGAAUAUCGAGAUGAUCUCGUUUCUGUCUCUCUCCAGUCUCAUAUCGAACAAAGGGCGGAUGGGAACAAGAAAGGAAGGGAAAAAAGCAUCACCUGUUCCCAUACAGUCUUAGCGAGAUCGCGGUCAUUAUCUCGGCAGCCUCACAUUUCUAAAGGGGCUUCGUUUGUCUUUUCAAACACUGGCAUCUUGUUAAAAAGCAGAGGGGAAAUGGCCGAUUUGCUCCGUUCCCCCCCAAAAUGAGCGGCGGUGCCACGGCCGCCCCCGCAGCCCCAACUUUAACACCUGGGAAAAGAAAGUGGGAAGGAAACCAAAGGCACCCAAAGAGAAAUAAAGGCGCCGCGGCCGAAGGGCCCCAACCCCGCUUCUCCCGAUGGCGUUCCUCCAUCUGACAAAAGCCUUUGGUUUUCUGUCAUUCUUUUCAUUUCCUUGAUGGCUCCCCAAUUGUCCAAGCCUUCAAGAAAACGCAC
ensembl:lncRNA